UUACCAGUUGGGAACGGCUGUUAAUACCGCAUAGUAUCUGUGGAUUAAAGGUGGCUUUUGGGCUGUCGCAGAUGGAUGAGCUGCGUUGGAUUAGCUAGUUGGUGGGGUAAGGGCUACCAAGGCUACGAUCCAUAGCUGAUUUGAGAGGAUGAUCAGCCACAUUGGGACUGAGACACGGCCCAAACUCCUACGGGAGGCAGCAGUGAGGAAUAUUGGACAAUGGGGGCAACCCUGAUCCAGCAAUGCCAUGUGUGUGAAGAAGGCCUUAGGGUUGUAAAGCACUUUAGUUGGGGAAGAAAGCUUUGAGGUUAAUAGCCUUGAGGAAGGACGUUACCCAAAGAAUAAGCACCGGCUAACUCCGUGCCAGCAGCCGCGGUAAUACGGGGGGUGCAAGCGUUAAUCGGAAUUACUGGGCGUAAAGGGUCUGUAGGUGGUUUGUUAAGUCAGAUGUGAAAGCCCAGGGCUCAACCUUGGAACUGCAUUUGAUACUGGCAAACUAGAGUACGGUAGAGGAAUGGGGAAUUUCUGGUGUAGCGGUGAAAUGCGUAGAGAUCAGAAGGAACACCAAUGGCGAAGGCAACAUUCUGGACCGAUACUGACACUGAGGGACGAAAGCGUGGGGAUCAAACAGGAUUAGAUACCCUGGUAGUCCAUGCUGUAAACGAUGAGUACUAGCUGUUGGAGUCGGUGUAAAGGCUCUAGUGGCGCAGCUAACGCGAUAAGUACUCCGCCUGGGGACUACGGCCGCAAGGCUAAAACUCAAAGGAAUUGACGGGGACCCGCACAAGCGGUGGAGCAUGUGGUUUAAUUCGAUGCAACGCGAAGAACCUUACCUGGUCUUGACAUCCUGCGAGCUUUCUAGAGAUAGAUUGGUGCCUUCGGGAACGCAGUGACAGGUGCUGCACGGCUUUCGUUUUU
rnacentral:rRNA from 1 species